rnacentral:lncRNA from 1 species
GAAAGUCACAUGACCAGAAGGGCUUGGGGGCCAGGCCUCCCUGGAGCAGCAGAUCCCAGUAGGGGUUGCUGGGCCACCAGAAACAUUGGCUGGGAGUCUGUUGCUGACUGAGCAUUCAGGUGGCUCUCAUGAUCUGGAAUCCAGGCAGCACUGUAGAAGUAUGAGCAGUAAGUACUUGGAAAUCAGUAGCUGCUUUUUCAUAGGGCAACAUAGGGCACAGAUC